GAUGAAGAACGCAGCGAAAUGCGAUAAGUAAUAUGAAUUGCAGAAUUCAGUGAAUCAUCGAAUCUUUGAACGCACAUUGCGCCCGCCAGUAUUCUGGCGGGCAUGCCUGUCCGAGCGUCAUUUCAACCAUCAAGCCCCGGGCUUGUGUUGGGGACCUGCGUCCGACGCAGGCCCUGAAAACCAGUGGCGGGCUCGCUGUCCACACCGAGCGUAGUAACUAACCUCGCUAUGGAGUGGCGCGGGCGCCUGCCGUAAAACCCCCAAUUUCACAAGGUUGACCUCGGAUCAGGUAGGAAUACCCGCUGAACUUAAGCAUAUCAAUAAGCGGAGGA
rnacentral:misc_RNA from 1 species